UUUGGGAAUAUUUUACUUGGUUGUACUGUAAUAUAGACUAAAUAAAGUUGAUGUUUCUCAGUGGUUGAUUUAUUGUGUGGUGAUUACUAUCAGAGACAUUGUACUGCAAGACGUCCAGUUAUUCUUUUGCAAUAGACCUUCUGCAUAAUGAUGUCACAAGGCUUGAUGCCUGUGAGGAAUGCUGGUCUUAGUACUCAUCGCCUAGAAAAAUUAAACAAUUUAUCCACUAUCGACAUUUUCCUGGGCAAUGAUUACUAAGACCAGCACUCCUUGCAGACAUUUUGUGACAUCAUUAUACAUAAUGUUUGUUAGACUGUUCUUCUAUAAUUCCCAAUUUCUUCUGUAGUUGUUAGUUGUGAGUGAGCAAUAGUUGAGUAAAUCCAGUAAAGCUUGAACCUGAGCACCAUUGUCUCCCUGGGUUAUAUGUUCCACGUC